rnacentral:rRNA from 1 species
GGUCUGAGAGGAUGAUCAGUCACACUGGAACUGAGACACGGUCCAGACUCCUACGGGAGGCAGCAGUGGGGAAUAUUGGACAAUGGGCGAAAGCCUGAUCCAGCCAUGCCGCGUGUGUGAAGAAGGUCUUCGGAUUGUAAAGCACUUUAAGUUGGGAGGAAGGGCAGUAAGCGAAUACCUUGCUGUUUUGACGUUACCAACAGAAUAAGCACCGGCUAACUCUGUGCCAGCAGCCGCGGUAAUACAGAGGGUGCAAGCGUUAAUCGGAAUUACUGGGCGUAAAGCGCGCGUAGGUGGUUCGUUAAGUUGGAUGUGAAAGCCCCGGGCUCAACCUGGGAACUGCAUCCAAAACUG